AUACGUAGGGGACGAGCGUUGUCCGGAAUUACUGGGCGUAAAGGGCGCGCAGGCGGAUAUUUAAGUCAGCUGUAAAAGGCAUGGGCUCAACUCGGGUAUGCGGUUGAAACUGGGUAUCUAGAGUGAUGGAGAGGGAGGCGGAAUUCUCGUUGUAGCGGGGGAAUGCGUAGAUAUCGGGAAGAACACCAGGGGGGAAGGCGGCUUACUGGCCAGCAACUGACGCUGAGGCGCGAAAGCCAGGGGAGCGAACGGGAUUAGAUCCCCCGGUAGUCCUGGCCGUAAACGAGGAAUGCUAGGGGUGGGUGUCGAGAGGCAUCCGUGCCGGAGUUAACGCGAUAAGCAUUCCGCCUGGGGAGUACGAUCGCAAGAUUGAAACUCAAAGGAAUUGACGGGG
rnacentral:rRNA from 1 species